rnacentral:rRNA from 1 species
GACGAACGCUGGCGGCGUGCUUAACACAUGCAAGUCGAACGAAGAGCGAUGGAAGCUUGCUUCUAUCAAUCUUGGUGGCGAACGGGUGAGUAACGCGUAAUCAACCUGCCCUUCAGAGGGGGACAACAGUUGGAAACGACUGCUAAUACCGCAUACGAUCUAAUCUCGGCAUCGAGGAUAGAUGAAAGGUGGCCUCUACAUGUAAGCUAUCACUGAAGGAGGGGAUUGCGUCUGAUUAGCCAGUUGGAGGGGUAACGGCCCACCAAGGCGAUGAUCAGUAGCCGGUCUGAGAGGAUGAACGGCCACAUUGGGACUGAGACACGGCCCAGACUCCUACGGGAGGCAGCAGUGGGGAAUCUUCCGCAAUGGACGAAAGUCUGACGGAGCAACGCCGCGUGAGGGAUGACGGCCUUCGGGUUGUAAAGCUCUGUUAAUCGGGACGAAAGGCCUUCUUGCGAAUAGUGAGAAGGAUUGACGGUACCGGAAGAGAAAGCCACGGCUAACUACGUG